GAGGAUUUAAAAAAUAAAAAAAAGUGAAGAAUAUUAAUGUUAAGAAUUGUGUAUAAUAGAUGUAAUUUAGAACACACCUGCAAUAUCUUUGGUCCAUGAAUUAAAGUACAUGUGUCUUUUUCUAAGCCUGAGAAUUGGAAUGUUUAUCUGAUAAAGUCAUACCAUUCAUAAUGUGUACUGUUUUCUCUGCUUUCAAAAUUUUUCUCCUUGAACCUACCCUGAUCUACCCUAGCUUUCUACUACAAUGUCAGGAAACUAAAAUGUCAUGUGACAUAUACUAUUGGUAUUAGUUUCAGAUUUCUCCUUGAACUUGUUAAUUAUUGGGAAAAAUAAACUUGUGGAAAAGGAAAGGGCAUGGAAUGAUGUAAUUUUUAAUCAACAAUACAGAGUUCUUGAAAAGUGGUUGUCCCAGGGAUUUGACCACCACAUUUUUAGGAAGGGCCUACACAAUUUUGCAAUUUCGCAAUAGAAAUAAUAGCAAGAGCCUGCAAAUUUUCUUCAAGUACCACCAUGGAAAAAAAGAUUUUGAGAACUCUGAAAAAAAUUGACCUAUA
rnacentral:lncRNA from 1 species